rnacentral:rRNA from 1 species
ACGUAGGUGGCAAGCGUUAUCCGGAUUCACUGGGCGUAAAGCGCGUGCAGGCGGUUUCGUAAGUCGGAUGUGAAAGCCCACGGCUUAACUGGGGAAGGGCAUUUGAAACUGUCAGACUUGAGUAUCAGAGGGGAAAGUGGAAUUCCCGGUGUAGAGGUGCAAUUCGUAGAUAUCGGGAGGAAUAGCGGUGGCGAAGGCGACUUUCUGGCUGAAUACUGACGCUGAGGCGCGAAAGCGUGGGGAGCAAACAG